rnacentral:lncRNA from 1 species
CACCGGGCCAGCCCCUAUAAAUAGUUAUUUUUGAAUGCCACUGAGGUUUUGUGGGGUUUUGUUAUGCAGCAUUGCUGUCACGAUAGAUAACUGAUACGUGACGGUAGUACCUAUCACGUAAGUAUCAAUGUAACUGAGAAAAUACACGUAAAUCACUUAGUACAGUACCUAACGAUAACAAUAACAAUAACAACGAUAAUAUGUGCUGCUGUUUGGGAGAAACCAUUACGGAAUAUGCAAAGGUACUGGCAGUUGAUCCUGAAUAAGACCUGUCUUACUGAAAUUUUUUUACAAAAUCAUGCAAUUUUACUUCCAGUUUUUGUAAAGAACCAAGCUGAUGGUCUAAUUGUAUUUUUUAAGCUUGUAAGUAUCCUGGGAUCUGUUCUCAUAAGCAAAACAGUUCCUUUCCUUCUAGAAGAUUUACUUUGUUAAAAUUUUUAAAAAGACAAAACAAAGAAACCACACACACACAGAAUAGAGAAAGACAUUCAAAUUCAUGACCACUGAGAGAGGCCAAAAGCUUGCCUCCAGAAUAAACCCAAGUUAUGGGCUGGUUCCAGUGCAGGGCUGGGCGGGGAACAACCACCACCAUCCUUUCUGCUCUUUUCCUAUUUGGGUAAUCUUCUUGAAAUAAUUUAGUAGGGUAGUUAAGAAAUGUGAGCUCUAGAGUUUAAACUCUGGUGCUGCAGGGACCUUGGAGUAGCGGCAGGGCUUUUACAGCUGUGCCGGCACACGAUACACAGUCAGGAGAAGUAGCUCUUCCCACUUGUUACAGCGAACGAGUCUGGGUGCGGCCAGCUCCACUUCUAUCUGGGCUGGAUCGUGGAGAUGACCACUCUCUGAGCAAGGUGAGCUGGCAGGCCUUGAUUCAAAACAGCCCAUCAGUACUGAGCUGCCUCUAGGCAUCCGAAGUCUAGAUCGAAACCUGAAUCUCAGAUUUUACACCCCAGUGUGAAGAAAAGCCACACUCAGGAGAGAGAAGAAACAGGGUUGGACAAAUCCAAGAGGGAUGUUUCUCAGCUGUUCUCAAGCCACCUUACCUAGCUUCUUAUGAGAGCCCAGGUACAUAGUUCUGCCCAGUAGCACAGAGACAUAUGAAAUGCUUUCACCUAACCAACCAGCAUUGUGAACAGAGAAGUGACUCUCCCUCCAUUCGUCGUUCGUUAUUUCUCCUAUUAAUCCAGUGAAAUUAAUUAUCAGAGCCAUAGUCUACUCCAAAUGUUGCUGUCCUCCUCAGAAAAGGAGUUCAGGUAAGAAGCCAAAAAGAUCUUACCCUCUCCUUCAUGGAACCAAUUCCUCAAUCCUUACCUCUCUUGCUCCAUAUCUUCCUGGUGUAGAGAGAUAGCUACUGCAUCCCCUCAGAGCCUUUAUGAAUGGCUCUCUCUUGUGGCCCCCAGAAACCAAGGAAAUGGGUCAGGACAUUCAUUACAUUGGCCCCAACGCCACAGUCAGUUCCAAUCCUCUUCCUCAUCUUAGAUCCUGCUCAGCUAUGCUACCAAACAGGGUGAACAAUGAGCCCCAGAGGAAAAGAUGGCCUGAAUAAUAUGCCAGCACUAUAAAAUUCCUGAAAUUUACCACUACCUUAUAAAAGUUAAUACAAACUUUCUCCCAUUAUCAAUUCAAACUGUUGCUUCCACAGAGAAAUUUCAGUCCAAAAUUCUGCCUUACCCUAUUUCCUUUUACUGACUCAGUUCCAGGCAGAAGACGAUGGUAUUCAGGCCUUUGGGUAGAAUCUGGGAUCCUUCACUGGCAGCUGCGCCCUGGGCCAUCUGCCAAUAUAAUUGGAGUAGAGGCUUUGCAUCUUCAAAGUUUGACUAUUUCAACCCUAAGAAUCUCUUUUCCCUCUUUUCUACAAUACCUAAGGGUCAACAGAACACAGAAUGUCAUAGCACCAGCCUUGUUCUCACAAAAUUCAGAAGCACAAAGAAAUUC